rnacentral:rRNA from 1 species
GACGGAGGAUGCAAGCUUAAUCCGGAAUGAUUGGGCGUAAAGCGUUCGCAGGUGGCUAUUCAAGUCUGCUGUCAAAGACCGGGGCUUAACCCCAGAGAGGCAGUGGAAACUGAAUGGCUGGAGUUCAGAUCGGGUAGAGGGAAUUCCCAGUGUAGCGGAGAAAUGCGUAGAGAUUGGGAAGAACACCGGUGGCGCAAGCGCUUUGAUGGCCUGUAACUGACCCUGAGGGACGAAAGCUAGGGGAGCGAAAGGG